rnacentral:rRNA from 1 species
GACGAACGCUGGCGGCGUGCUUAACACAUGCAAGUCGAACGAAGUGGCGAACGGGUGAGUAAUACGUGAGUAACCUGCCCUCCUUUUUGGGAUAAGCCUUGGAAACGGGGUCUAAUACCGAAUAAAGGGGGAUGGGCUCGCGGCCUAUCAGCUUGUUGGUGGGUUGAUGGCCUACCAAGGCGGUGACGGGUAGAGGGCCUGAGGGGGUGAAGGGCCACAUUGGGACUGGGAUACGGUGCAGACUCUUACGGGAGGCAGGGGUGGGGGAUAUUGAAGAAUGGGCGAAAGACUGAUGCAGCGACGCCGCGGUAAUAC